UCGCUUUGGCCAUUCGUCCGUCAAAGCCCCGUCAAAGAAGGAAUCGCCUGCAUGGCUAAACACCUGAUCAACCUUGAAGCUCUCGGAGAUUGCGAGAUCCGCGGUCACGCCAUACCUCAAGGCACGUAUCAGGGCGUGACGGUUGAUCGGCCAGAUGUGAAAGCUGAAGGCGGCAGGGCGCAGGCCGUAUUUUUGUCCCUUACCGCUGAUAAAUAUGUUGAUGCUGAUAAAGCUCUCAAUGCCAGUUCUGUGAAUGUUACUGACUUGAUCCAACAGGGCCUCAUCGUCGAGAUUUGAUCAGGCGACCCUGAGCUGGCAUGUGCCGCAAGCGUGGGCAAUAAUCUUAGCCAGGGCUAUCUCUGGCGGGCGGGAGCGGCAUCUACGAUCGCGCGGACACCAGCUGCAUUUGCGCCAUAGCGGCGAACAACG
rnacentral:sRNA from 1 species